GCCACCGGGGAAGGUAGGCCCUGCUACUCAGGUCCACUCAGGAUGAGGCAGUGGCCCAGCUCACGCACUUGCUGUCUACCUUGUUGAACAACACCAGGCCCGUGUCAACUCCAGGCCCCACGGGGCUUCCCCCCUCGGGCUCCCUGACUCUGGGCCCGGCUGUGAGCAGCACCCUGGGAAGCAGGCCAGUUCUUCUGCAGAUCACCCAUGGCAUCAGCCGGGAGGCUUGGGGGCAGCGGGACACCAGCCAGGUCCCAGGAAGAGGUGCUAAACACUCCAGAAGGAUGGGAACUGUGUCUGACUUGUUCUCUCCACCACCUGGAAGUGCCGAGCCCAACCAAGCACUCAACACCGAUCGGUUGGACAAAUGAAAAAUAAAUGCACGUGUGUUGGUUUGGCACAGGGGCCUGUCACGGACAAAGCGCCUCGGGCGACAGGACGCUUGGAGGCUCCGCCAGAAAAGGUUUGCCAACCCCUGGGCCAGGACAUAGUACAGAGCUUGCCUCAUGGCUGCCUUCUUGAAGGAGAGGAAGCUGUGAUUGCCUGCUGCUUUUGGCGCUUUUGCUUCUAGAAUCCACUCUGCACCUGUUCAUUCUGCUUCUAAAUCCUCUACGGGCUGAACAAACAAUAAGAGGCACCAUCAAGACUACUGGUAAAGUAAGAGAAAGGAGCUCCAAGCAAGGUUCUGGUACAUCUUCCUGUGGAUAACGUGCGUUUUGUCUUUGUGGUCCUGAUUAUUUUAGCCGUUGAGUUUUGACUAUGUUCGGGGAAGAUGGGCUGCCUCAGAGCUGAGUUCUAGAUCCAAGACCGCUAUUCUACACUGGCCACUCUUUGUAAUACAGUGGCAGGACCCAAGCCAGGAGAAUGUUGCAGGGCAGGGAGACAGCAGAGCAACCUGAAUACCUACCAUGGAACACGCAGCUGGUGGCCAGAACAGAACAGGAUCCCCAGGCAGGGGACCUGCCUCGAAAUGCUGAAAAUGCAAUAGCAAGCCCAGUUUCAGGAGAGAUUUAACUGGAAAAGGGACAGAGCAAUCAACAGGAGGAACAAUUGUAAGGCGGAGGCCAAGAGAGAGCCUGGAGCUCUGUGUGUGCGUGUGCGUGUGUGUGUGGUGUGCACAACUACACAAGCACGUAUGUGCACACAGGAAAGGUGCCUUUGGAGGAGCACAUGGGCACAUAGGGGGAGGUCUGUGUGCAUGUAAGAGAGGCAGAAAGAGACUUGGCCCAGCCUGCCUGGAGGAAGGGCACGCCGAUAAACCCAAGGCGUCGAGCCGCAGUGCUGGCGUUUCCUGAAUCCCCAAUCAGGAGCCGUGGCCCUCUCUGUGGUCUGACAUGUGGCUUUCUCCCCGGUCUGUCUUGCGAUCCUACUCACGAUCUGAUACAUAAUCGGACCCCCGGACCGGCCUGUGGUCUGACUUGUGGUCUGCCGCCGCGGCCUGUCACACCUGCACCACGACAUCGACUGUCCAAAAUCGGGCCUGCCGCGGGACACACGGGUGGCGGGGCUGGGAGGCGCAGUCCUCCCGCAGCCCGUCCAGGCCCCCUUUCGGGAGAGAGGCAUCGACGGCCCCCGUGAGUUAUGACUUUUAUUAUGCAGAAAACAGGCACAUUAACUUCAGGUCCUUUGAAAAAUGUGGUCCUGUAAUCAGAGGCUGUGUCUGUCCUGAUGCACAGUGGCACCGGGCCAGAGGAGUGCAGGCAUGAAAUAAACAUUUGGAAAGACAACUGCAUUUGCAGAUCUAAGAAUUGAGUUAUAUUCAUUUCUGACAGCUUCCUGAAUCACAGCCCACGUCUCCGCCCGGCAAAACUGGGACCUGGCCCUUUAACUAGACUCCAUUUCACAUAAUUAAAGACUCACAAAAUUAAAUGGCCUGCAUGGAAAGUGGCUUUCAGUGGACUAAAUGCCGGGAGCAAUCUCCUCGCCAGAGUGGAAAAGUGACACUAGCUUGCAGAUCAAUAUCAUCUCUGUUAUUAAUAUCAAAAGCACAUUACUUUGUUUUUGCCUGGCUCCCCUCCAAGCCUCCGGCCCUGCCGCGGAGCAGCCAUUUGCUCGGGCCAUAAUUUACUUUGGUGAGUUUUUAAGGUAUUGUUUUGUCAGGACCAAUCACCGUGACGUUAUAAAUGGCUGGGAGGACUUGCGCUCCCCCUCAGUGGCAUAUGCAGCGAAAUUAAUUUUUAAAAGUUUCACGUCAAUUACUCCUGUCCUUGAGUUAUGCAAGGGGACAAAGGAGCAGAGACGUAAGGACGUGAGUGAUCUCAAGCAGAUGAGGUAACGACACACAGAAGCCGGGGCUGCAGACCAGAGCAGACA